UCAGGGUUUGACUCCGGAGAGGGAGCCUGAGAAACGGCUACCACUUCUAAGGAAGGCAGCAGGCGCGCAAAUUACCCAUUCUCGGUACGAGGAGGUAGUGACGAAAAAUACCAAGUUGGGGCUCUUAUGAGUUUCGACAUUGGAAUGAGAACAAUCCAAAUCUUUUAACGAGGAACUAGUGGAGGGCAAGUCUGGUGCCAGCAGCCGCGGUAAUUCCAGCUCCGCAAGUGUAUAUCUAUAUUGCUGAGGUUAAAAAGCUCGUAGUUGGAUCUGCGUGUCUAGCACCUGGUGUGAUCUUUGAUCGCUACUGGGCUGCGACACUUUGUGUGUCGGUUGGCCGUUGAUGCUCUUAACCGGGUGUCUUCGGUGACUGACGAGUUUACUUUGAACAAACUAGAGUGCUCAAAACAGGCGUUUCGCUUGUAUAUUUCUGCAUGGAAUAAUAGAAUAGGACCUUGGUUCUAUUUUGUUGGUUUUCGGAACUGAGGUAAUGAUUAAGAGGGACUGACGGGGGCAUUCGUACUGCGACGUGAGAGGUGAAAUUCUUGGAUCGUCGCAAGACGCACUACUGCGAAGGCAUUUGCCAAGAAUGUUUUCAUUAAUCAAGAACGAAAGUAACGGGUUCGAAGGCGAUCAGAUACCGCCCUAGUCGUUACCGUAAACUAUUGCGACGACGGGCAUGCACGUGUUUUUGAUGACCGUGUAUGAGCGUACCCAGAAAUGCCAGUUUUUGGUGUCCUGGGGGAGUAUAGCUACGCAAGUCCGAAACUUAAAGGAAUUGACGGAAGGGCACCACCAGGGGUGGAGCCUGCGGCUUAAUUUGACCCAACACGGGGAAACUCACCCGGCCCGGACACCGGAAGGAUUGACAGAUUGAGAGCUCUUUCUUGAUUCGGUGGGUGGUGGUGCAUGGCCGUUCUUAGUUGGUGGAGUGAUUUGUCUGGUUAAUUCCGAUAACGAACGAGACUCUGGCCUACUAACUAGUGAGUGGAUCUUCAAGUCCGCUCGACUUCUUAGAGGGACAAGCAGCGUUUAGCUGCAUGAAAAAGAGCAAUAACAGGUCUGUGAUGCCCUUAGAUGUCCGGGGCUGCACGCGCGCUACACUGAAGGAAUCAGCGUGUGGGACUGCCUGGCUUGAAAGAGUCGGGUAAUCCGGUGAAAAUCCUUCGUGAUUGGGAUCGGGACUUGCAAUUAUUUCCCUUGAACGAGGAAUCCCUAGUAAGUACGGGUCAUCAGCUCGUGCUGGUUACGUCCCUGCCCUUUGUACACACCGCCCGUCGCUGCCCGGAACUGAGCCAUUUCGAGAAAAGUGGGGACUGAUGGCUU
rnacentral:rRNA from 1 species